rnacentral:rRNA from 1 species
AUUGAACGCUGGCGGCAUGCCUUACACAUGCAAGUCGAACGGUAACAGGUUAAGCUGACGAGUGGCGAACGGGUGAGUAAUAUAUCGGAAAGUGCCCAGUCGUGGGUGAUAACGUAGAGAAUGCUACGCUAAUACCGCAUACGAACUACGGAUGAAAGCGGGGGAUCGCAAGACCUCGCGCGAUGGGAGCGGCGGAUAUCAGAUUAGGUUGUUGGUGAGGUAAAAGCUCACCAAGCCUGCGAUCUGUAGCUAGUCUGAGAGGACGACCAGCCACACUGGAACUGAGACACGGUCCAGACUCCUACGGGAGGCAGCAGUGGGGAAUUUUGGACAAUGGACGAAAGUCUGAUCCAGCAAUGCCGCGUGGAGGACAAAGGCCUUCGGGUUGUAAACUGCUUUUGUACGGAACGAAACGGUGAGCUCUAAUACAGUUUGCUAAUGACGGUACCGUAAGAAUAAGCACCGGCUAACUACGUGCCAGCCGCCGCCGUAA